rnacentral:rRNA from 1 species
AGUGAACGCUGGCGGUAGGCCUAACACAUGCAAGUCGAACGGCAGCACAGUAAGAGCUUGCUCUUACGGGUGGCGAGUGGCGGACGGGUGAGGAAUACAUCGGAAUCUACUUUUUCGUGGGGGAUAACGUAGGGAAACUUACGCUAAUACCGCAUACGACCUACGGGUGAAAGCAGGGGAUCUUCGGACCUUGCGCGAUUGAAUGAGCCGAUGUCGGAUUAGCUAGUUGGCGGGGUAAAGGCCCACCAAGGCGACGAUCCGUAGCUGGUCUGAGAGGAUGAUCAGCCACACUGGAACUGAGACACGGUCCAGACUCCUACGGGAGGCAGCAGUGGGGAAUAUUGGACAAUGGGCGCAAGCCUGAUCCAGCCAUACCGCGUGGGUGAAGAAGGCCUUCGGGUUGUAAAGCCCUUUUGUUGGGAAAGAAAAGCAGCAGGUUAAUACCCCGCUGUUCUGACGGUACCCAAAGAAUAAGCACCGGCCAACUUCG